rnacentral:rRNA from 1 species
UACGUAGGGUGCAAGCGUUGUCCGGAAUUAUUGGGCGUAAAGAGCUCGUAGGCGGUUUGUCGCGUCUGCUGUGAAAACCCGAGGCUCAACCUCGGGCCUGCAGUGGGUACGGGCAGACUAGAGUGCGGUAGGGGGAGAUUUGGAAUUCCUGGUGUAGCGGUGGAAUGCGCAGAUAUCAGGAGGAACACCAAUGGCGAAGGCAGAUCUCUGGGCCGUAACUGACGCUGAGGAGCGAAAGCAUGGGGGAGCGAACAGG